GACGAACGCUGGCGGCGUGCCUAAUACAUGCAAGUUGAGCGCUGAAGGUUGGUACUUGUACCAACUGGAUGAGCAGCGAACGGGUGAGUAACGCGUGGGGAAUCUGCCUUUGAGCGGGGGACAACAUUUGGAAACGAAUGCUAAUACCGCAUAAAAACUUUAAACACAAGUUUUAAGUUUGAAAGAUGCAAUUGCAUCACUCAAAGAUGAUCCCGCGUUGUAUUAGCUAGUUGGUGAGGUAAAGGCUCACCAAGGCGAUGAUACAUAGCCGACCUGGGAGGGUGGUCGGCCACAUUGGGACUGAGACACGGCCCAAACUCCUACGGGAGGCAGCAGUAGGGAAUCUUCGGCAAUAGACGAAAGUCUGACCGAGCAACGCCGCGUGAGUGAAGAAGGUUUUCGGAUCGUAAAACUCUGUUGGUAGUGAAGAACGUUGGUGAGAGUGGAAAGCUCAUCAAGUGACGGUAACUACCCAGAAAGGGACGGCUAACUACGUG
rnacentral:rRNA from 1 species